rnacentral:lncRNA from 1 species
UUCUCGACGAGAACCAAACUAAGUCAUGGUUUUCCCUUUGAGCGAAAUUAGCUAGGCUAUCACUAACCUUUUUUUUCGGGAAAGCCAUUUGACGUAGUUCAUUGAUUCUCAAACACAGUUACAUCAUUUAUUAGCUUAGCAAACAAAUAGCUAGGAGGAUCAUCGUCCCAAAUACAAUUGAUAUGAUCACUAAAACUAUGCCUAGAUAGUAAAUGAGCAACCUCAUUGGCCUCCCGAUUACAAUGUUCAAAGGUGAUCUCUCUAAAACCAGUUGUAAAAAGUCUACAAUCAUCAUAUAUAAAUUGACCUGUGAGACAUCUAAUCUACACAAAACCAUGGAUUGGCUAAUCCUCACCUGGCUGACAAUUUUGCAAAGCUACAUCGAUACAAAAGUGAAACUUUAGUUACAUAAAAAGUGAUUUCGUAUUCGAUUGUGUCUUAAAAAUUCUCAGGCCACGGCCACCUUAGAACUGAACACCGUCGGCUCGUGGAUUAUGACCUGCGGCAUUACUGGCACCAAAAAUACUGCGGCAUUAUUGGCACCAAAAAUACUGGAGCAGCGUGGCACAUCGGAUUACUCUGUUCUGCCGGCCAGAACGUCGCCUCGUGGCACAUCGGAUUACUCUGCUCUACGGGCCGGAACGCCGCCGCGUGGGGUGGUG